CAAAGAAACAAGGAGAAAAACAAGGAGAAAAAAUAUAAAUAGCAGUGAGCUAAAGCUUAUCGCUGUCUGAAGACGAAAUGUCCAGAAAGAAGAGAUUUCGAUAUUGGACAGCAAAUAUCAAAAACACUUCCUCUUAGUAAAAGCAGAACACAUUUUGUUCUCAGUAUUUCAUAUGAAACUUGGUCUGAUGAAGAUCACGUCAUUUUUAUAAGAUACGUGUGAAAAAUUUCCUGGUCCAAAGCCAUAGAAAUUGAAGAAAGAUGUUUUUGCUGGGCCGAAAAUGAGAAUAUUAAAGAGAGAUUAACUUUUAAA
rnacentral:lncRNA from 1 species